rnacentral:rRNA from 1 species
AACGAACGUUGGCGGCGUGGAUUAGGCAUGCAAGUCGAACGAAUCUCACUCGUGUAGCAAUACAUGAGUGAGAGAAGUGGCGAAAGGGGCAGUAAUGUUUGGAUAACCUACCCUGAGGUCGUGGAUAGCCUUCCUAACGGAUGGGUAAUACACGGCGUUGUACUGAAGAGGCAUCUCUUUGUUACCAAAGAAUUUCGCCUCAGGAGGGGUCCAAAUGAUAUUAGCUAGUUGGNGAGGUAACGGCUCACCAAGGCGUAGAUGUCUAGCGGGUGUGAGAGCACGACCCGCGUCACUGGCACUGAGACACUGGCCAGACCUCCGUACGGGAGGCUGCAGUCGAGGAUUC